AUAUUUUAUUGGUUUGCCCAAAUAGCCCUUCCCAAAGGGCUGACAUGGAAGUUAAAUAUACUACUAACUUGAUAAUUACUCACAUUCUUUACCUUGUUGACAUUUAAAAGAAUUGAAACUCUAACCCACAUCAAUAGAUUUCACCUUCUACUUCACGUAGGUAUCUUAUUUUAUCUUCUUCAUGCAGCUAUCUUCUUCAUCGAUCGGCUUCAAUGUCUUCUUCAUCAGCUUCAUCAUUAUGUGCGGAACAACUUGGAAUAUGAACCAUCUUUGUACUGUAGUUGUGGGUUGAAAGCCCCACUUUGCUCAACUCGAGAUUCAGGGAGAAAAUUUUAUGGGUGUCAAAGAUGGAAGGAGGGUCGUGGGUGUGGUUUUUUUGUUUGGAAAGAACAAAUUUCACUUACACGAGAAGAAACUGAGAGCGAUGCAACGACACCUACUGCUUCUAAAAUGGAGGAAAUGAAGAAGUUGAUUACAACAAUGAGAUGUGAAAUGAUCAGCGAGAUACACGAUGUACGGGAUUUAAUUGAAAUUGAAGUGAAGGAGAAGAAAAUGCUUAAAAGAAAGUGUGUAUUCUUUAUAGUUGUAAUUGUUGCUAUGGUGAAGUUUAUGUUGUAAUAUGGCUCAAUUAUUGAAUGCCUUUUGUAUUUACACCAUAUCAUCACUUUUGUGUA